rnacentral:other from 2 species
AGAAUUCUGAGGUGUACGCGAUGCCUACAAACUGUGUUGACCGAACAUUUUAUUAUAACAUUGGGAUUCUAAAGGAAGAAUUGCUGACAUGCCUUAUCACUUGGAAGUCAAAUAUUUUUCUGGUGAAGCCCACCUGCCAAUAGCGGGUUCAACCUAACAUGGCAUUCAACCGGCACCAUCGGUUUUCUU